AGUCAAGAUGGCAGCGUAAGCAGACUCGGAACUCACCUCCUCCCAUGGACACAGCCAAUUUACAACUACUCGUGGAAAAAUUACCCCUGAGACAGAACUGAAAACUGGAUAAGAAGAACUCCUGCAACAACGGACAAUCCUAACUGAGGGGGAAGAGGCAGAGACUCCCUUCUGGAGAGGAAAAAUGCUGCCUUCACAAGCUGCCAGCUUCACAGCCACUGGGAGCAGCUCACAGGAUCGACUGAACUCUAUUCCUCAGGGCGGGUCACGAGUCUGGCCCCGCCUCCCGGGACAGAGCUGAUUGAUUGAAAGGGGAUCGUCUGACCUAAGCUGCACCAAUUGAAGUCCUCUUCUGGCCAGUUUAACUUUGAGAGGGAAUCGUUAAGAUGCCCAGCGCUACCAAGAUUGGGUCUUGUUUGUGGGAAGCUCGCAAGAGAAGGAUCUCGUUCAGGAUAUCGAAUUGCAUUUGGCCGUCAUUUCUCCUUAGUCUCCUCCAGGCUGACAGUUCCUCAGUCUUCCUGAGUUUUUCACAACCCUGACACUUUUGAAGAUACUAGUCAGGUACUUCAUAGACUGUCAACUUGGCUUUGACUGAUAUUUUCUUAUGAUUAGAUUGAAGUCAUACAUUUUUGGCAAGAAUACCUGUUUGCUUCUCCUCCCCUUCACUCCACUGGUGAUGGAGGGAUUUCCACGCUAGUGUUAUGGGUGUUGCUGAACACAUCAUACCCAACACUGGACAAGUGAGAUCCGUAGCAGUUUAUUAGUAACAUUUAUUCACAGCCUGGAGGGGGGAGGACACUACACACCAGGUAGAGCCUCACGGUGCCACGCUCUGGAAGAGAGUGAAGAAGC